AACAACACACAAGCUGAGAGAGAAGGUCAGCUUGCUGAAAUUCCACAUGGUAAGAUUACUGCAUAUAAGGUGUUUGUGGAAAGUUCACAAACAAAGAAUUGGUCUAAAAAUCAGGUUAAGGUGAAAUUUUUUGUUCUGAAGGAUGAUUAUUUUCUUUGGAAUCCAUUGCUUUACUUCUCCAAGAGUAAUAGAACCUUCCAAAGUGAUGUUUAUA
rnacentral:lncRNA from 1 species